rnacentral:rRNA from 1 species
AGCGAACGCUGGCGGCAGGCCUAACACAUGCAAGUCGAACGAACUCUUCGGAGUUAGUGGCGGACGGGUGAGUAACACGUGGGAACGUGCCUUUAGGUUCGGAAUAACUCAGGGAAACUUGUGCUAAUACCGAAUGUGCCCUUCGGGGGGAAGAUUUAUCGCCUUUAGAGCGGCCCGCGUCUGAUUAGCUCGUUGGUGAGGUAACGGCUCACCAAGGCGACGAUGAGUAGCUGGUCUGAGAGGAUGGCCAGCCACACUGGGACUGAGACACGGCCCAGACUCCUACGGGAGGCAGCAGUGGGGAAUCUUGCGAAAUGGGCGAAAGCCUGACGCAGCCAUGCCGCGUGAAUGAUGAAGGACUUAGGAUUGUAAAAUUCUUUCACCGGGGACGAUAAUGACGGUACCCGGAGAAGAAGCCCCGGCUAACUUCGUGCCAGCAGCCGCCGUAA